rnacentral:lncRNA from 1 species
AAUAUAACUAACUUCCUUCCUUCCUGCCUUCCUCCCUCCCUGCCUUCCCUUCCUUCCUGCCUUCCUUCUUCCUUCCUCCCUUUUUUCUUUUCUCCCUUCCUUCCUUCUUAAUAUGUUUUUGGCCUUUUCUUUAUAUAUGUGGCCUAGCAAUAUCCUGUGUUUGGAAAAGUAUAAACCUAAGGCAUCACCUUUACAGAAAAUAUCUUCCACGGAAACAUCUAAAGGCCACAGAUCAGCCCUGGGGUUCAGAGGGAUCCUGACAGCUACUCCUCAAGAUCCUCUCUGUUGUGAUUCAUCCCCCCGGGGCCCUACAGUUUCUCCUUCCUGACUCUUACAUUUCUUUGGAUGGCAUCAUUAUUUACCUGUCUCCUCCCAUAGUUAGGUGCCAAGCACUGUGGAUUCUGCCUCUCAGUGUCCAGACACCCAUUUUCCUUCCCACUGUUCCUUCCCCAUGGAGAAGCCUGUGGCUGGCUGACAGCAGAGAGAGAUGCUCAACUUGGAGAAGGUGUUACCUGGGCCAGGUGGGGAAGGUUUGUUUGCAGAGCAAAGAAGUGAAGGAAGUAUUAACCCUUUGCAUGGCCUCCUGAGAAUCCGACAAGACGUAAAUAGCCAAGAAUAUCUGUGAAACUUCAUCACUGAGUUACAAUAUUUAUCACUGCAAGUGUGUUGUUCAUUGACACUAUAAAGCCAUGUGGAAUUAAGCAGCCUUGAAACACAAAAUGGAGAAAGGCUAAGAGCUGAGAAUUGUUGCCUUCAGGGAAAUACAAUCAAUGUCAAGCAAACAACCACCCCAAAAUGGUUAGCUUUAUCAGCAUUCAGGCCUACAGUGAACGCAAAUGUUCCAGAUCUGAGUUUCAAUUUUUAAAGAAUAAACAUAUGCAAAUGACCAUUAGUCUUAGUAGUUUUAGGGCUCAGAAUGAUCUUAUCUUGUUAACAUUCAGGGCAACUGCUUAUACCCAUUUGAAUGUCAUUUAGAGGGCUAGGAAAGACUGCUUCAACAUUUGAUGACUAAAUGGCAGGGCUCAGCCACAAUGCUCACUCCGAGAAAUGAGAAAUAGACACACCAGUAUGCUAGAUGCUGAUGCAGUUCAGGAAAUGCUACCCCAAAAUAUGGCCCCUCAGCAUACUGAGUAUUUUAAGCAGAAGGCAAUUAAGAAAACCACAAAAACAGAAAGGUCCCUCUGACCUUCUCCCACCCUCUCUCUCUUGAAGAUCCUCAUGUGACAGGUGACCUGCCAUAUAAUCAGAAGGAAGAAAUGUUACACAGAGAGGCUGAGAAGAAUCUGAGGACUUGCUAAGUUUUCCCCAGUUUAUUACCAUUAGAUCAUAUGCCUUUUUUGUUCAAUCAUACUUCUAUACAACUGUCCAUCAUUCAUUAAACCUAACCACAAAAGUAGUUUUCACUCGGUUUUUGAGUGAAGGCUCCUGUGUCACAUAAAACUUACAUUAAAUAAAUUUGUUCCACUUUUCUUUUGUUAAUCUGUCUUUUGUUAUAGGAAUGUCAGCCAUUAACCUCACAGUAGGUGAUGAAAAGAUAUUACUUUUUCUCCCCUAUACUACCCAAGCCAGCCACCUCAAGAAAGAACAGUUCAUGUGCAGGUGACCAUGUAGUUCAAGUCAUCAUUAAAUCCAAAGCUGAGCAGCCGUGAUGCUAUUGGUGGAAUUGCCCUUGACCAAGAGAAAUCCAUCUUGAUUGUCUCAAUAAUCGGCUCAAGGACCACUGAUGAUGAGGUCCUAAAUUUAAUUCCUAAAAAACCACUAAAGUUAUAGAGGCAAAAUGAGAAAGCAUAGCUCACAAAUACCUUGUGACCAAUGACUUGCCCUCCAUUCUAGUAUUCAAGACCUUUUGCAACUCAGAAUGAGUGCAUCUGAAAUUCUCAGAAUUGGGAAAAACAUAGCAGAUUUGAAUUGGCAUAUAAUAGGAUUUGCCAUAAGGAACUAUCUUAGGGAGGAAUUUCUGCAUAGUUGACCCUUGAACAACAUGGAUUUUAACUGCAUGGAUGCACUUAUACAUGGAUUUUCUUCCACCUCUGCUAACCCUGAGACAGCGGAACCAACCCCUCCUCUUCUUCCUCCCCCUCAGCCUAUUCAACGUGAAAAAGAUGAGGAUGAAGACCUUUAUUAUGAUCCACUUCCAAGUAAUGAACACACUGGAGAAAGUCAGACAGUCAAAACAAUGUCCCAGACUCCGUGAAGUUCCUGGGUAGAGAAGGAGACAGACAUAUACCAUACCUAAUAAUUGGAUGUCCGAGAGAAUGAGAGAAUGGCAGAAAGAACUUUAGAGCAUGGGUAUGAUGGCUAGAGCUUGAGCAGCCAUUGUGGACAUCAGAUGAACUUGAAAGUGAAAACUAUGAGCUGAAUACGACAAAGCAAACAGAUAGAAAACUGGAUUCAUUAUGACAUUGCAAAGCUGCCAGACCAGCUCUAGUCUGCUUCCCCCUAAUCUUCCUUACUAAGAGAGAGAAAUAAACUUCCAUCUUCUUCAAGCCACUGCUGGUGCAUCUGACUACUUACUAGAUGGUUGCAUUUUGAUUUCCCAGAGACAUCUUAAGGUCAACAUGUUCAAAACCAAACAUCUUCCUUUCUUAAGGCUGCAUCCCACCCGGUUGUUGAAGUCAGAAACCUGGAUUCUACAUUCUCCCUUAACCCCAUAUCCAAUUAAAGCAGGCAGAAUAAUGGCUCCCUCAAAGAUGUCCACAUUCUAAUCCUCAGAACCUAUUAAUAUGCUACUUCAUAUGGCAAAGGGACUUUAUUUAUGUAAUUAAGGUAAAGGUCCUAGAGACGGGGAGGUUGUCUUGGAUUACCUGGAUGGACCCAACUUAAUCACAUGAGUCUUUUAAAGUGGAAGAGGGAGGCAGAAAGAAAAAAGAAGAGGCAGGAGAGAUUCAACGUAU